GUGAAUAAUUAAACGGCCGCGGUAUCCUAACCGUGCAAAGGUAGCAUAAUCACUUGUCUACUAAUUAUAGACCAGCAUGAAUGGCAAAAUGAGGGCCUAACUGUCUCUUAUAAUCAAUCAAUUAAACUGAUCUACUAGUAAAAAAGCUAGAAUACCAACAUAAGACCAGAAGACCCUGUGAAGCUUAAACUAAACUAUUAAACCACAUAAUAACCAAUUUCGGUUGGGGCGACCUUGGAAAUAAGAAAAACUUCCAAACACCAUGACAUACAUCAUGAACUCAGGCCCACAAGCCAACACAAGACCCAGUUAAAACUGACAAAUGAACCAAGUUACUCCAGGGAUAACAGCGCAAUCUUCUUCAAGAGCCCAUAUCAAAAAGAAGGUUUACGACCUCGAUGUUGGAUCAGGACAUCCUAUUGGUGCAGCCGCUAUUAAGGGUUCGUUUGUUCAACGAUUAACAGUCCUACGUGAUCUGAGUUAAAACCGGAUUAAAUCCCUGAAUAAACCAACCUUAAUAGCGGCUGCACCAAUAGGAUGUCCUGAUCCAACAUCGAGGUCGUAAACCUUCUUUUUGAUAUGGGCUCUUGAAGAAGAUGCGCUGUUAUCCUGGAGUAACUUGGUUCAUUUGUCAGUUUUAACUGGGUCUKGUGUUGGCUGUGGGCUGAGUUCAUGA
rnacentral:rRNA from 1 species